rnacentral:rRNA from 1 species
AUGAGAGGCCUCAUUUGGAACUAUAGAGGGGUGGGUAAGAAAGGGAUGGCCACCUACCUCUCUGAUAUCAUAAGUGACCAUUCCAUUCACUUUCUGGGACUUUAGGAAACCAUUAAGAAUUUCUCUCCCAAAAACCUUAGGAAAUUUGACCCCUUUGACAAUUUCCAUUGGGAUUGGAUUCCUGCUAUUGGCAAGUCUGGUGGCGUUUUAUGUGGUGUUAGAAAGGACUCUUUUGAGGCGAUUCUUGUAUCAAAGGCGAGUAUGUCCUCCAAAUUAUUCUUAAAGACCUCAAAAACAAAUGCUCUUGGGGGUUGUUAG